rnacentral:lncRNA from 1 species
UCGAACUCAGAAAUCCACCUGCCUCUGCCUCCCGAGUGCUGGGAUUAAAGGCUUGCGCCACCACGCCUGGCAAGCUCUUGGUUUUUAAAGCCUUCCAUGUGUUCAGUCUUAGGAGUGCACAGCCCCUCAGACUUUCUCAGACCCUCCCGUGGCUGUUGAUUUGUCUUUUACUCCAUGGCGUUGUGCUUUUGUUCUUUCUUUUUUUAAAAAUUUAUUUAUUAUUUUACAUUAGUACACUGUAGCUGUCUUCAGAUGCACUAGAAGAGGGUGUCAGAUAUCAUUAUGGGUGGUUGUGAGCCACCAUGUGGUUGCUGGGAUUUGAACUCAGGACCUUUGGAAGAGCAGUCAGUGCUCUUAUCCACUGAGCCAUCUCGCCAGCCCCGCUUUUGUUCUUUCUUAAUUGUGUUGUUUGUUAUGUGUACUGGUGUUUUGCCUCCACUUACUUCUGUACAGCAGUUUCAAGCCUGGUAUCCACGGAGGCCACGAAAGGGUGAUGGACUCUCCUGGGGCCUGAGCUACAGACAGUUGUGACCUGCCACGUGGGUGCUUGGGAUUGAACCCAGGUCCUCUGGAAGAGCAACCGCUGCUUUAACUACUGAUUCAUGGCUCCAGCCCUAGCAUCGUGGUUGUUAGAAACAGUAAUUACACUCAUAGUAUAGAUUCUCAUAAUUUCUUACGAGAUCUACAAGUUCGUCCUGAAACAGCAGAGUCUUGGAGAGCACUCAGUUUAGGAACCAGAAGUCCUGUGCAGCAAAGGACCUAAGUCUAACCCCCCCAACCCCCCCUUUUUUGUUUUGUUUUGUUUGUUUGGUUUUUUGUUUGUUUUGUUUUGUUUUUUUGAGAGGUCUAACCCCUUUUACAAGGGGUUUUUGCUUUACUUAGUGGUACUGGAGAUCAGACCUAAGGCCUGAAGCAUUCUGAGUAUACCUAUCACUGAGCAGUGUGAACACUUUUAGCCCUAAACUCCUUUCCAUCCUGAUUUUUCCCAUUUUCCAACUUUGUGAUAUGCUACUGUGUGUUUAGAUUGACACCCACUCACCCCACCCCCUUUUAGUUGGGAUCUCUUCAUGUAGCCCCGGAUGGUCUUGAGUGCUACCCACACCAGCUAGCUGGGUAUAGUUUUUAGCCUUCCUUAGCCUCAUGUUUUUUCAUCUUUAAAACAAAGAGAGUUGAGCUAUGGAGUCUAUUUUUGAAGCUUCUGUCAUUCUAACAUGGUCAGGUUUUAUGUUUGCUUGUAAAAUGUCCCCAUUUAAUGUUGACAUUCCCUUUAUGCAGAAAUGCUGGGAGCCAGAAGAGUCCAAGGCCAUCUUUGGUUACAUAGCAAUUUUGAGAUCAGCAUGAACCAUACAAGAGACCCUGUCUCAAAAUCCAAUAUCUCACUAGGUGUGGUGGCACAUGUUUUUGAGGCAUAGGCAGGCUUGUUUCUGAGUUCAAGGCCUGGUCUUCAUAGUGAGUUCUAGGCUAUCCAGGGCUAUACAGUAAAACCCUGUCUUGGAGGAAGAGGGAGACAGGGAAGAGAAAAAAGUGGAGGAG